rnacentral:pre_miRNA from 16 species
ACAGAAGGACAUGUUAGCUUGAUUCCUGACAUCUUACUUGGCAGCAUUCGAUGUGUUUCCAUAUUCAAAUACUGCCUGGUAAUGAUGCCAGUCAAGUUUCCUCACAGUCCACAAUUGU